rnacentral:rRNA from 1 species
AGCAGCCGCGGUAAUUCCAGCUCCAAUAGCGUAUAUUAAAGUUGUUGCAGUUAAAAAGCUCGUAGUUGAAUUUCGGGGUUCUACCGUUGGUCGGGCUUUGUCCGUACUGGUGUGUAGAAUUUCUACCUUCUGGGGAACCAUCAUGUUAUUAAUUUAACGUGGUGGGAAACCAGGACCUUUACCUUGAAAAAAUUAGAGUGUUCAAAGCAGGCUUAUGUCUGAAUACAUUAGCAUGGAAUAAUAAAAUAGGACGGUGGUCCUGUUUUGUUGGUUUCUGAAUCACCGUAAUGAUUAAUAGGGAUAGUUGGGGGCAUUAGUAUUCAAUUGUCAGAGGUGAAAUUCUUGGAUUUAU